rnacentral:rRNA from 1 species
GUGUCAUACGAGACUGCCGGUAAAAGCCGGAGGAAGGUGAGGAUGAUGUCAAGUCAGGCAUGACCUUUAUAUCCAGGGCUACACACACGCGUACAAUGGUCUGUACAAUGGGUAGCCAAGCCGCGAGGCGGAGCCAAUCCUGAAAGCAGGCCUCAGUUCAGAUUGCAGUCUGCAACUCGACUGCAUGAAGCCGGAGUUGCUAGUAACCGCAGGUCAGCAAUACUGCGGUGAAUACGUUCCCGGGUCUU